GGCUCAGAUUGAACGCUGGCGGCAUGCCUUACACAUGCAAGUCGAACGGCAGCACGGGAGCAAUCCUGGUGGCGAGUGGCGAACGGGUGAGUAAUAUAUCGGAACGUGCCCAGUCGUGGGGGAUAACGUAGAGAAAUUUACGCUAAUACCGCAUACGAUCUAAGGAUGAAAGCGGGGGACCGUAAGGCCUCGCGCGAUUGGAGCGGCUGAUAUCAGAUUAGGUUGUUGGUGAGGUAAAAGCUCACCAAGCCGACGAUCUGUAGCUGGUUUGAGAGAACGACCAGCCACACUGGGACUGAGACACGGCCCAGACUCCUACGGGAGGCAGCAGUGGGGAAUUUUGGACAAUGGGCGAAAGCCUGAUCCAGCAAUGCCGCGUGCAGGAAGAAGGCCUUCGGGUUGUAAACUGCUUUUGUACGGAACGAAAAGGUCUGCCCUAAUACGGCGGGCCCAUGACGGUACCGUAAGAAUAAGCACCGGCUAACUACGUG
rnacentral:rRNA from 1 species